UUUGCUCAACGGACAGCUCAA
rnacentral:piRNA from 1 species